AUGAGCGUCCCCCUCCUGUGCUGGGGGGUCUGGGGUCUCCUGCAGGCAGGUGUGGUGAAGGCUGGGGUCUCUCAGGAACCCAGAUUCCAGAUCCUGAGGACAGGACAGAGCAGGAACCUGAGUUGUGUCCAGGAUAUGAACCACGACUACAUGUACUGGUAUCGCCAGGACCCAGGACUCGGACUGAGGCUCAUCUAUUUUACCUAUGCUUCUGGUACCUUAUAUAAUGGAGACAUCACCGAGGGGUACAAUGUCUCCAGAAAAAAUAAGGACAACUGCCUACUUAUGCUGAAGUCUGCCACCUCCUCCCAGACAGCUGUGUACUUCUGUGCCACCAGCUAUGCACAGAGCUGCAAGCUCAGCUCCUCUCUGCACAAGAAGGCGGGGGCCCUGCACUCUGGGACUCAGCAGAGCCCUCUGCAGACUCUGAGCUCAGGGAACCCUGCAGUAGGGGGUCCCUGCAGUCGGUGUGAACGUGGGUGA